rnacentral:rRNA from 1 species
AGCGAACGCUGGCGGCAGGCCUAACACAUGCAAGUCGAACGAACCUUUCGGGGUUAGUGGCGGACGGGUGAGUAACACGUGGGAACGUGCCUUUAGGUUCGGAAUAACUCAGGGAAACUUGUGCUAAUACCGAAUGUGCCCUUCGGGGGAAAGAUUUAUCGCCUUUAGAGCGGCCCGCGUCUGAUUAGCUAGUUGGUUGAGGUAAUGGCUCACCAAGGCGACGAUCAGUAGCUGGUCUGAGAGGAUGAUCAACCACAUUGGGACUGAGACACGGCCCAAACUCCUACGGGAGGCAGCAGUGGGGAAUCUUGCGCAAUGGGCGAAAGCCUGACGCAGCCAUGCCGCGUGAAUGAUGAAGGUCUUAGGAUUGUAAAAUUCUUUCACCGGGGACGAUAAUGACGGUACCCGGAGAAGAAGCCCCGGCUAACUUCGUG